rnacentral:rRNA from 1 species
GCCUUACGGCUCAGUAACACGUGGAUAACUGCCCUUGGGUCCGGGCAUAACCCCGGGAAACUGGGGAUAAUUCCGGAUAACGCAUAUAUGCUGGAAUGCUUUAUGCGUGAAAUGGAUUCGUCUGCCCAAGGAUGGGUCUGCGGCCUAUCAGGUAGUAGUGGGUGUAAUGUACUACUAGCCGACGACGGGUACGGGUUGUGAGAGCAAGAGCCCGGAGAUGGAUUCUGAGACAUGAGUCCAGGCCCUACGGGGCGCAGCAGGCGCGAAAACUUUACAAUGCGGGAAACCGUGAUAAGGGGACACCGAGUGCCAGCGUCAUACGCUGGCUGUCCAGGUGUGUAAAAUACACCUGUUAGCAAGGGCCGGGCAAGACCGGUGCCAGCCGCCGCGGUAACACCGGCGGCCCGAGUGGUGAUCGUGAUUAUUGGGUCUAAAGGGUCCGUAGCCGGUUUGGUCAGUCCUCCGGGAAAUCUGAUGGCUCAACCAUUAGGCUUUCGGGGGAUACUGCCAGGCUUGGAACCGGGAGAGGUAAGAGGUACUACAGGGGUAGGAGUGAAAUCUUGUAAUCCCUGUGGGACCACCUGUGGCGAAGGCGUCUUACCAGAACGGGUUCGACGGUGAGGGGCGAAAGCUGGGGGCACGAACCGGAUUAGAUACCCGGGUAGUCCCAGCCGUAAACGAUGCUCGCUAGGUGUCAGGCAUGGCGCGACCGUGUCUGGUGCCGCAGGGAAGCCGUGAAGCGAGCCACCUGGGAAGUACGGCCGCAAGGCUGAAACUUAAAGGAAUUGGCGGGGGAGCAC